UACGUAGGUGACCAGCGUUGUCCGGAUUUACUGGGCGUAAAGAGCGCGCAGGCGGUCGUUCAAGUCGAGUGUGAAAGCCCCCGGCUCAACUGGGGAGGGUCACUCGAUACUGAUCGACUUGAAGGCAGGAGAGGGAAGCGGAAUUCCCGGUGUAGUGGUGAAAUGCGUAGAUAUCGGGAGGAACACCAGUGGCGAAGGGCGG
rnacentral:rRNA from 1 species